UGGACAUAAAUACUUAGUACUUGUCACUCGUACAUGUUACUUAAUAUUUGCUUCUAGAGAAAAAACAAAAUCGGUCGUUAUCAAGGCAGUAACAUAAGUUAGACAUUCACAAGUAUGUAUUUAAAGUAAUCUUGAAGUGCAAAGCAAAGUGAUACAAAUAGCAAAUAUAUCAUAAAAAGCAUAUAUAUUGCCUUGUGUCCACACCCCUAAAUA
rnacentral:lncRNA from 1 species